AGACACGAGCAUGCGUAACGAUUGCUCUGGAUUUGCGUGACAGAACGUCUCGUUUCGUUCGGCCUAUUUGUUGGCGCUUAAGUUUUCUUGCAUGUCAAACUUCCCAUGGAUGUUUGGCAAAUUCAGAUGAAAGUGGAGUUGGGUUGGGAGUCGGGACAGAUGAACUUGGGUUUGUACAUCAGUAAAACAGUCAACGGGCGAAGAUAGGAAGGCACAGCUAACCAUUUGGAACACAAGGUGUUGGCAUAUUCCUGGUGAAUAAGCUCAGUCAGAUAAAGAAAUGGUCUAGAGACGGAAGAGGCAUACCAGCUCACGUUCCCGGCAAAGAUGCUUACAUAUCAUCCAACGAUACCUAGAAGACCCGCUUCUCAUCGGAGGCAAGAAAUUCGACCUUCGUC